ensembl:lncRNA
AAAAAGAAACAAAUAAAAAUCCCCCAAUUCCUAAAACCUUAGAAUAAAUGCAACGAUGCAACUUUUAUCAAUAGAUGCCCAUUUAUAUAAAUGAGGCAGAGAGGCAGAGAAAGAAUUUUUGUUCCUUGGGAACAAAUGUAUACUUAGAACACCAGUGUGUAUAUCAAUAUAUAUUAAGGACACCUGUGAUGCCUGUUCAAAGAAUAUCCUUUCAGUUUGAAUAAGGAAAAAUGCAUGUAUAUUAGCAUGUCUGAAAAAAAAAAUUGGUUCAACACAUAUUUGUAUGCCAGAAAUUUAUAUGUGUAGACCAUCUGAAUUUAUAUGCAGAUACAAAACACCAGAUGUUUAAAAUCAAUCUGAAGGUGAAAAACACCUCCACAUAGGUAGAGAGUAGAAGGAUUCAACCAUAGGACUCUGGCUAAAAUUAGAUAUUUCAAAUGAUCUCAGUAGAAGUUAGCUUGAAAUCUCAGCGCAUUUGGCAUGCUUAAUGUUUUCUUAAUUUCUUGAUAAAACAUGGUUCAUCAGUAAAGAUGCAAUUAUUUAAAUUCAAAUGCUUUAAGAAGCAUCUAUUACUCCUUGAAUUAGAUCCACAGAAUUAUUAGGGCUCACAUACUGUUUCUGAGCUCUCUUUCUAGAAAGACAGCAAACAGUAGAGCACAAGAAAUCUAACAAAGUUCAAAAAUAUUCCAGAUAGUAAUUUUCAGGGUAUACAAAUAUGCCCAGAAAUAUCUAAAUAAUAAUAAAUAAUAGAUUUGUCAAAGAUAGACCCUGAAUGAAAUUAAUUUUUCAUGACCUGGUUUUCAAGGCCCUAAGGAACAAAUUUUGCCAUUUGUGUGCAUGUAAAAGUGCUGUGAGUGUGAUGAGCAGUACGGUACUCUGUGUGUGCUUUCAUGCAUAAAUAGUGCUUGAGGCUGAGAAGCUCUUUGGUAUAAGCAGAGUAUUAUAAGUUUCCAGAUGGGCUUCUACAUCUCCAUCACUAUUCCCAUUCCUUUACAGCACUCUUCUCUCUCUCUUAGUCAGCCCAUGGCACCUACAUUGGUGCAAUAGUUACAUCUAUGUACUCUGUGUGCCCCACAGCCUGUCUUUUUUUAUCACUGAACAAAUAAACCACCUCACUAACCACCUAGCUUCAGAGAGGGACAUCCUUUACAGAUCAUGUCUCUAUGGGCCCUCUUUUCCAGAAUAUAUUUAUGUCUUGCUAAUAGUUAUUGCAUUAUGUCACAAACAAAGAUCUUUUUUUUUUUUCUCAUCCAUAGAGCUAAAGCUCUUAUGCAGACUAAUUUUAAGUUUGCAGUCACAUAUUUCUGUUAAUGCAAUAUCCUGUGGUUUUAUUCCUGACAAAUGCAGCCAUAUACUAUUCAAAUCUAUUGGGACUACUGCUGUCAAGACUGUUAUCCCCAUCCACCUCUUUGGGUUUGUCAUAACUCUGUCUCUUUGCACUGUGUCCUAAUUCUCUACUGUAACAAAUGCACUAGUCCUCUCUUCCCAUUUCGGUGACACAAUAAUCAGUACUAAAAGGCCAACUGCCAUCUCCAUUUGGACUCUGAGAACACUUCUCAUCAUCUCUUUUUCAAAUUUUAGACAUGCAUUUCCAAUUUUUUCAUCUUUCUUCCCUCUUGGUUUAGGGAAGAAGUCCCUAUAAACAUGUUUACAAACCUGCUUUGCUGUCUGACCUCAAAAAGCCUAUUCCAUUGACCAGUGCUAUUAUAUAGUUUCCUUCAGGUUUUCUAUCAGGCUGUCUGAUUUCAUCUUGUCCACAGUUAGACACAUCAUAGGUUACUGGCUGGUAACAUCUCUUUGUAAACAAUGAAAUCUGCUUUUAAAAUCGUGGAAAGAAUCUGAAAGGAGUAUUUUAUAUUUGGUAAAGCAAACUUGCUUCUGGUCUAAGAUCCUUUAUGCCAAGUUUCAGUGCAUUCUUACAGCCAAGUUAUACACUUCCUCUGACAAUUUUUUAGUUUUAAUAGACAGUUUGGCUAUGAGGUAUUGUUGUUGAAAUGCUAAAAGGAAAACUCAACAACUCAUUAUGUUGGGGAACUAGCAGCAGUAGACAGUUAUUAUGAUUUUUAGUGUUGUUUUGUUCAGCAGGUAUUAACAUGUUUGGAAACAGUGCAAAAAAGAUGGUAAUAAAUGCUAAAAAUUUUUUUGUGGGUGGAUGAAUGAGUAUGCUUCAACACACUGCCAGAGACAGUAAGUAACUUGUGGAAAGCAUUGUUCAAAACAGAGAUAUCUGGGGAGUAAAAGUAUUGUGCAUUGUAUACCGUAUGCCAACCUUUUGGGAGGUUGUGUCAGAGGGGUGGAAGAAAUUAAAAAUCAAACUGAACCAAACAAAAAAAAAACACUGCAUUUCAUUAUCUUCACCUACUCACUAGGAAUCUGAUAUGUGGAAAAUGUGAAUCUAGCAAACAAGCUUGCCUUUCUCAACAAUAACAUCUGCUUGAUGGCCAAUAUAGAUGCAUCCCUAUAAACAAAGCCAAUAUUUCUGUACCGUAAUAGAGGAUUUCUAAAGCUGUUACAAAAGGGAAUGUAAAAAAUGUUGAAGACUGAAUGCAAAUUUUCUGUAACAAACUAGUACUUAAUUUGGGAAUGGACAAAGCACUUGUGAAUGCCUCUUUUAAUAAAGAGAUGUGGAAUGUAGAGGGAGAGUAGGUGAUUCACUUACAAACAGUGGAUGACAUUCAAUAUAAGACUUAUAGAUGGCUGAAGGUUAUGAAUCUCA